GCAGAGUAAGUCAAAGAGCGUUAAGUGUCCGGAGGACGGAGAGUUGCCACCGGGACGAAAAGAUCCUGAGGAGGGUCUUGCGGUUUUUUGACUGCAUCCCACUGC
rnacentral:ncRNA from 1 species